GACGAACGCUGGCGGCGUGCUUAACACAUGCAAGUCGAACGGAAAGGCCCUGCUUUUGUGGGGUGCUCGAGUGGCGAACGGGUGAGUAACACGUGAGUAACCUGCCCUUGACUUUGGGAUAACUUCAGGAAACUGGGGCUAAUACCGGAUAGGAGCUCCUGCUGCAUGGUGGGGGUUGGAAAGUUUCGGCGGUUGGGGAUGGACUCGCGGCUUAUCAGCUUGUUGGUGGGGUAGUGGCUUACCAAGGCUUUGACGGGUAGCCGGCCUGAGAGGGUGACCGGCAAAAUGGGGAUGUGGAUCCGGCCCAGACCCCUACGGGAGGAGGCAGUGGGGAAUAUGGCACAAGGGGCGGAAGCCUGAGCCAGAAACGCCGCGUGCGGGAUGACGGCCUUCGGGUGUAAACCGCUUUCGCCUGUGACGAAGCGUGAGUGACGGUAAUGGGUAAAGAAGCACCGGCUAACUACGUG
rnacentral:rRNA from 1 species